AGUGAUCUGGGUGUGGACUGAGUCCUGAGGGGCUGGAUGGUCCAUUAUGGCCUCAUGUUGAUAUCUAGCAGCUGGGAGACUAGCUGGUCUGAAGAAAGGGCUAAGCUGAGAUUUCUGCUCCUGAAGAAAGGUCCUUUAAGUGAAAAAGAAGAAUAUGUUAUAAUCAACAUGUUAUUGGACACGCACUAUACAAGGUGCUAAGAAUUCCAAGAUGAAUAAGAAAGUUCAAGUUUUUCUCCAAACCAAGACAAAAACCAGAGUGCUAUACGGAGACAAGCACAGUGCUCAUAAGAUUCUGCAGAAAUGCUCACUUUCACAGCAGGACAUUCAACCAUCUGGGCUUCAUCAAGGCAGAUCCUCCACCACUCCACAGCUACUAGGGGGCUGGGAAUGGCCAUAUAGCGCUUCUGGUUCCGUAAGCGACGUCCAUCCUCACUAUUGCUGUGUGGGAUAUCUACAUAGUUUAGUUCUGAACGAAGGACAUCAUAGGUAAUGAUAACUAUAUCCUGUUCAGCCAAAAAAUGAGGUUGUAAAAAACCAUCUUUCUUCACUCCUUGGUAUACCUAGGAAAUAAUCACCACAGAUAGAAUUAUUGCAGAAAGGCUCAUCAAAGAUAACUAAAAUAUUCAUUCCUUUAUAUCUUUACUGAGCUCUAUUUGUUUAGUACCAGACACGCUAUGAGAUAUAUUCUCCAUAUGCCUAGAGAAAGAUACAUUUUAGGGUGGAAGACCAAUGACAUAAGCAAUGUGAAAGGAAAUGUAACAGAAGUAAAAGUGGUAGCACAGUGGAAAGACCAAUGUUGGAGCUGAGAAGGUAAGUUCAGAGAGGAGUGAAAAUUUGAGGUGGAUCUUGAAGAACACUUAGGAGUUCUCCCAGGGGGAGCAAGAAGAAAAGGUAGGUAGUGCAUACAAAGGUAUGAAGAAGUAGAACAGUAAGAGCUAUAAUUUACUGAAUAUCUUUUAUAUUUCGGACACCAUGCUAAGCUUUAACUCUUAUCUUCAAUAACAAUCUUGUUCGUAGUUGUUAUUACUCCUAUCCUACACAUAUGAAACAUCAAGUUUCUUGCUCAAAACUGGCAGAGUCUAGAUUCAAAGCAAGGGCUAUCUACCUUACAAAACAGAGCUCCUCAAGGGCACAGAUGGGUGUUUUACUUAUUACUAUAUUCUUUUUCCAUGUCUAUAAGCAGUAGCUGAAAUAUCGAAAACCUUAAGUAACAUUUGUGUGGAAAGAACAAAGGGAGUGAAGAAUAUGAACAUCAAAAACUCAAAACUUGGGCAGCCUGGGUGGCUCAGUGGUUUAGUACCUGCUUUCGGCCCAGGGCGUGAUCCUGGAGACCCGGGAUCGAGUUCCACAUCGGGCUCCCUGCAUGGACUCUGCU